UACGAAGGGGGCGAGCGUUGUUCGGAUUUACUGGGCGUAAAGGGCGCGCAGGCGGCGCAUUUUGUCAGGCGUGAAAGCCCCGGGCUUAACCUGGGAACUGCGUUUGAUACGGAUGGGCUAGAGUUCGGGAGAGGAGAGUGGAAUUCCCAGUGUAGAGGUGAAAUUCGUGAGAUAUUGGGAAGAACACCCGUGGCGAAGGCGGUUCUCUGGGACGGUACUGACGCUGAGACGCGAAAGCGUGGGAGCGAACAGG
rnacentral:rRNA from 1 species